CCUACGGGAGGCUGCAGUGAGGAAUAUUGGUCAAUGGACGAGAGUCUGAACCAGCCAAGUCGCGUGAAGGAUGACUGCCCUAUGGGUUGUAAACCUCUUUUAUAUGGGAAUAAAACAGGGUAUGCAUACCCUCUUGUAUGUACCAGAUGAAAAAGCAUCGGCUAACUCCGUGCCAGCAGCCGCGGUAAUACGGAGGAUCCGAGCGUUAUCCGGAUUUAUUGGGUUUAAAGGGAGCGUAGGUGGAUGGUUAAGUCAGUUGUGAAAGUUUGCGGCUCAACCCUGAAAUUGCAGUUGAAACUGGAAGUCUUGAGUACACUAGAGGUAGGCGGAAUGCGUGGUGUAGCGGUGAAAUGCUUAGAUAUCACGAAGAACUCCGAUUGCGAAGGCAGCUUACUGGACUGCAACUGACACUGAUGCACGAAAGUGUGGGUAUCAAACAGGAUUAGAUACCCGGGUAGUC
rnacentral:rRNA from 1 species